CCCGUGCCCAAGACUUAAAAGCCAAAAGCCUGAAACUAAACCCUAGGGUACCUGAGUGGUUACCCAAAAAACUAAAUAUUUUACAGAAACAAUGGAACAAAAAAAUCUCCACUGUUGCCNNNNUAACCAUCGUCCAAGGAGAGACGACAAAUACUGUAAACGCACAACUGAGAGCUCCAAUAACAAGCAAAGCGAAAUCUUUCAACCUAGAGAUAAGCGGAUUUCUCAAACAAAACAC
rnacentral:misc_RNA from 1 species